UGUUUCGGCUAGGGGGCCAUCCCGGCUUACCAACCCGAUGCAAACUGCGAAUACCGGAGAAUGUUAUCACGGGAGACACACGGCGGGUGCUAACGUCCGUCGUGAAGAGGGAAACAACCCAGACCGCCAGCUAAGGUCCCAAAGUCAUGGUUAAGUGGGAAACGAUGUGGGAAGGCCCAGACAGCCAGGAUGUUGGCUUAGAAGCAGCCAUCAUUUAAAGAAAGCGUAAUAGCUCACUGGUCGAGUCGGCCUGCGCGGAAGAUGUAACGGGGCUAAACCAUGCACCGAAGCUGCGGCAGCGAACGUAUCACUUAAAGCGAUUCAGCGGGUUACGAUUGACGGAGCGAAGCGACGUCAAAGCGUAUACAAAGUCGAGUCGGUUUAAGGAUACGUUCGUUGGGUAGGGGAGCGUUCUGUAAGCCUGUGAAGGUGGCCUGUGAGGGUUGCUGGAGGUAUCAGAAGUGCGAAUGCUGACAUAAGUAACGAUAAAGCGGGUGAAAAGCCCGCUCGCCGGAAGACCAAGGGUUCCUGUCCAACGUUAAUCGGGGCAGGGUGAGUCGACCCCUAAGGCGAGGCCGAAAGGCGUAGUCGAUGGGAAACGGGUUAAUAUUCCCGUACUUGGUGUUACUGCGAAGGGGGGACGGAGAAGGCUAUGUUGGCCGGGCGACGGUUGUCCCGGUUUAAGCGUGUAGGUGUGUGUUCCAGGUAAAUCCGGUU
rnacentral:rRNA from 1 species